GACGAACGCUGGCGGCGUGCCUAAUACAUGCAAGUUGAGCGCUGAAGGUUGGUACUUGUCCCAACUGGAUGAGCAGCGAACGGGUGAGUAACGCGUGGGGAAUCUGCCUUUGAGCGGGGGACAACAUUUGGAAACGAAUGCUAAUACCGCAUAAAAACUUUAAACACAAGUUUUAAGUUUGAAAGAUGCAAUUGCAUCACUCAAAGAUGAUCCCGCGUUGUAUUAGCUAGUUGGUGAGGUAAAGGCUCACCAAGGCGAUGAUACAUAGCCGACCUGAGAGGGUGAUCGGCCACAUUGGGACUGAGACACGGCCCAAACGCCUACGGGAGGCAGCAGUAGGGAAUCGUCGGCAAGGGACGAAAGUCUGACCGAGAAACGCCGCGGGAGGGAAGAAGGAUGUCGGAUCGUAAAACUCUGUUGGUAGAGAAGAACGUUGGUGAGAGUGGAAAGCUCAUCAAGUGACGGUAACUACCCAGAAAGGGACGGCUAACUACGUG
rnacentral:rRNA from 1 species